CCUACGGGUGGCUGCAGUGGGGAAUAUUGGACAAUGGGCGAAAGCCUGAUCCAGCCAUGCCGCGUGUGUGAAGAAGGCCUUCGGGUUGUAAAGCACUUUCAGUGGGGAAGAAAGCCUUGGGGCUAAUACCCUCGAGGAAGGACAUCACCCACAGAAGAAGCACCGGCUAACUCCGUGCCAGCAGCCGCGGUAAUACGGAGGGUGCGAGCGUUAAUCGGAAUUACUGGGCGUAAAGCGCGCGUAGGCGGUCUGAUAAGCCGGUUGUGAAAGCCCCGGGCUCAACCUGGGAACGGCAUCCGGAACUGUCAGGCUAGAGUGCAGGAGAGGAGGGUAGAAUUCCCGGUGUAGCGGUGAAAUGCGUAGAGAUCGGGAGGAACACCAGUGGCGAAGGCGGCCUUCUGGACUGACACUGACGCUGAGGUGCGAAAGCGUGGGUAGCAAACAGGAUUAGAUACCCUAGUAGUC
rnacentral:rRNA from 1 species